rnacentral:rRNA from 1 species
AACGAACGCUGGCGGCAUGCCUAACACAUGCAAGUCGAACGAGACCUUCGGGUCUAGUGGCGCACGGGUGCGUAACGCGUGGGAACCUGCCCUUAGGUUCGGAAUAACUCCCCGAAAGGGGUGCUAAUACCGGAUAAUGUCUUCGGACCAAAGAUUUAUCGCCUUUGGAUGGGCCCUCGUUGGAUUAGCUAGUUGGUAGGGUAAAAGCCUACUAAGGCGACGAUCCAUAGCUGGUUUGAGAGGAUGAUCAGCCACACUGGGACUGAGACACGGCCCAGACUCCUACGGAAGGCAGCAGUGGGGAAUAUUGGACAAUGGGCGAAGUCCUGAUCCAGCAAUGCCGCGUGAGUGAUGAAGGCCUUAGAGUUGUAAAGCUCUUUUACCCGGGAUGAUAAUGACAGUACCGGGAGAAUAAGCUCCGGCUAACUCCGUG